AGCCGAGAUAGCUCAGUCG
rnacentral:tRNA from 1 species